rnacentral:rRNA from 1 species
UACGUAGGGACCAAGCGUUGUUCGGAUUUACUGGGCGUAAAGGGCGCGUAGGCGGCGCGGUAAGUCACUUGUGAAAUCUCCGGGCUUAACCCGGAGCGGCCAAGUGAUACUGUCGUGCUAGAGUGCGGAAGGGGCUACUGGAAUUCUCGGUGUAGCGGUGAAAUGCGUAGAUAUCGAGAGGAACACCUGCGGCGAAGGCGGGUAGCUGGGCCGACACUGACGCUGAGGCGCGAAAGCCAGGGGAGCGAACGGG